AGUGAACGCUGGCGGUAGGCCUAACACAUGCAAGUCGAACGGCAGCACAGUAAGAGCUUGCUCUUACGGGUGGCGAGUGGCGGACGGGUGAGGAAUACAUCGGGAUCUACUUUUUCGUGGGGGAUAACGUAGGGAAACUUACGCUAAUACCGCAUACGACCUACGGGUGAAAGCAGGGGAUCUUCGGACCUUGCGCGAUUGAAUGAGCCGCUGUCGGAUUAGCUAGUUGGCGGGGUAAAGGCCCACCAAGGCGACGGUCCGUAGCUGGUCUGAGAGGAUGAACAGCCACACUGGAACUGAGAAACGGUCCAGACUCCUACGGGAGGCAGCAGGGGGGAAUAUUGGACAAUGGGCGCAAGCCUGAUCCAGCCAUACCGCGUGGGUGAAGGAGGCCUUCGGGUUGUAAAGCCCUUUUGUUGGGAAAGAAAAGCAGCAGGUUAAUACCCCGCUGUUCUGACGGUACCCAAAGAAUAAGCACCGGCUAACUUCGUG
rnacentral:rRNA from 1 species